AACGAACGCUGGCGGCAGGCCUAACACAUGCAAGUCGAACGCCCUGGCAACAGGGAGUGGCAGACGGGUGAGUAACGCGUGGGAACGUGCCCUUCGGUUCGGAAUAACUCAGGGAAACUUGAGCUAAUACCGGAUACGUGCGAGAGCAGAAAGAUUUAUCGCCGAAGGAUCGGCCCGCGUCCGACUAGCUAGUUGGUGAGGUAACGGCUCACCAAGGCGACGAUCGGUAGCUGGUCUGAGAGGAUGAUCAGCCACACUGGGACUGAGACACGGCCCAGACUACUACGGGAGGCAGCAGUGGGGAAUAUUGGACAAUGGGCGCAAGCCUGAUCCAGCCAUGCCGCGUGAGUGAUGAAGGCCCUAGGGUUGUAAAGUGCUUUUCGGGGAGACGAGGAAGGACGGUAUCCCCGGAAUAAGGAUCGGCUAACUACGUGCCAGCAGCCGCCGUAA
rnacentral:rRNA from 1 species